rnacentral:rRNA from 1 species
UCGAGCGAAUGGAUUAAGAGCUUGCUCUUAUGAAGUUAGCGGCGGACGGGUGAGUAACACGUGGGUAAUCUGCCCAUAAGACUGGGAUAACUCCGGGAAACCGGGGCUAAUACCGGAUAACAUUUUGAACCGCAGGGUUCGAAUUUGAAAGGGGGCUUCCGCUGUCACUUAUGGAUGGACCCGCGUCGCAUUAUAUAGUUGGUGAGGUAACGGCUCACCAAGGCAACAAUGCAUAGCCAACCUGAAAGGGUGAUCGGCCACACUGGGACUGAAACACGGCCCAGACUCCUACGGGAGGCAGCAGUAGGGAAUCUUCCCCAAUGGACAAAAGUCGGACGGAGCAUCCCCGCGGGAUUGAUAAAGGCUUUCGGUUCUAAAAACUCUGUUGUUAAGAAAAAACAAGUGCUAAUUGAAUAAUCUGGCCCCUUGACGGUACCUAACCAAAAAGCCACGGCUAACUACGUGGCCAACACCCGCGGUAAUACAUAUGUGGCAAGCGUUAUCCAGAAUUAUUGGGCGUAAAGCGCGCGCAGGUGGUUUCUUAUCUCUGAUGUGAAACCCCACGGCUCACCCGUGGAGGGUCAUUGAAAACUGGGAGACUUGAGUGCAAAAGAGGAAAGUGGAAUUCCAUGUGUAGCGGUGGAUGUGCAUAUAUAUGUGGAAGAACACCAGUGGCGAAGGCGACACUUUCUGCUCUGUAUGUGACACUGAGGCUCGAAAGCGUGGGGAGCAAACAGGAUUAGAUACCCUGGUAGUCCACGCCGUACAACGAUGAGUGCUAAGUGUUAGAGGGUUUGCCGCGCUUUAGUGCUGCAGUUAAACGCAUUAAGCACUCCGCCUGGGGAGUACCGGCCGCAAGUGCUGAAACUCAGAAGGAAUUGACGGGAGGCCGCGCACAAGCUGGUGGAGCAUGUGGUAUUAAUUCGAAGCAACGCAGAAGAACUCUUCACCAGGUCUUGACAUCCUCCUGAUCCACCCUAGAGAUAGGGCUUUUCCUUCGGGAACAGAGUGACAGGUGGUGCAUGGUUGUCGUCAGCUCGUGUCGUGAGAUGUUGGGUU